rnacentral:rRNA from 1 species
GACGAACGCUGGCGGCGUGCUUAACACAUGCAAGUCGAACGGAAAGGCCCUGCUUUUGUGGGGUGCUCGAGUGGCGAACGGGUGAGUAACACGUGAGUAACCUGCCCUUGCCUUUGGGAUAACUUCAGGAAACUGGGGCUAAUACCGGAUAGGAGCUCCUGCUGCAUGGUGGGGGUUGGAAAGUUUCGGCGGUUGGGGAUGGACUCGCGGCUUAUCAGCUUGUUGGUGGGGUAGUGGCUGACCAAGGCUUUGACGGGUAGCCGGCCUGAGAGGGUGACCGGCCACAUUGGGACUGGGAUGAGGCCCAGACUCCUACGGUAGGCAGCGGUGGAGAAUGGUGCACAAUGGGCGGAAGCCUGAUGCAGCAACGCCGCGUGGGGGAUGACGGCCUUCGGGUUGUAAACCGCUUUCGCCUGUGACGAAGCGUGAAUGACGGUAAUGGGUAAAGAAGCACCGGCUAACUACGUG